UCCUCUUCAACGCUGCGUUUCUAUGCUACAAACAGAUACGUUGCGAUUCAGUUCGCGGCAUAUCAGAUCCUCGGAUUGUCCCCAUUGCAUAUGAGAAAUUCGGAGUAAUCUUCAACCAACCUUCCUCCUCUUCCUCCGGGUCGAGUGAUAGGUCUGCCCGUGAGGGUUCGGCGUGACACCACGUCUGCAAUUGGCAUCAGAAAAGCAGGGCAAGUCAUUUUUCGUGUACCGACCGCAAGGGAGGGAAAGGGAUCUGUGCUUGUUCCUAUGGGAGGGCCGUUGCGAAGAUUGUGUGCAUGCGUGCGACACUUGAGUGCAAUACGCGGCGUGCUGGUCUGCGAGUCACUCCGGUGGCUGGCAGAUGGGUACAAUUCGAUUCCGAUUACUCUGUUGAGGA
rnacentral:RNase_P_RNA from 1 species